rnacentral:rRNA from 1 species
AGCGGCGGACGGGUGAGUAAUGCCUAGGAAUCUGCCUGGUAGUGGGGGAUAACGUCCGGAAACGGGCGCUAAUACCGCAUACGUCCUGAGGGAGAAAGUGGGGGAUCUUCGGACCUCACGCUAUCAGAUGAGCCUAGGUCGGAUUAGCUAGUUGGUGGGGUAAAGGCCUACCAAGGCGACGAUCCGUAACUGGUCUGAGAGGAUGAUCAGUCACACUGGAACUGAGACACGGUCCAGACUCCUACGGGAGGCAGCAGUGGGGAAUAUUGGACAAUGGGCGAAAGCCUGAUCCAGCCAUACCGCGUGUGUGAAGAAGGUCUUCGGAUUGUAAAGCACUUUAAGUUGGGAGGAAGGGCAGUAAGUUAAUACCUUGCUGUUUUGACGUUACCAACAGAAUAAGCACCGGCUAACUUCGUGCCAGCAGCCGCGGUAAUACGAAGGGUGCAAGCGUUAAUCGGAAUUACUGGGCGUAAAGCGUGCGC